CCAUCCCUGGGGUGUUGGCCAGCCGGAGAUGUCCCUGAGCCGAUACUCCUGUACCAGGGGACUACGCGCGGUGCCAGUGUGCAUGUCCGCAUGACGGAAAGCCUGAGGUAUCGCCGUAUUCUCCGCCUUGAACUUUCGGGUUCAAGGGCUAACCCGGCAGCGGCACUCUGGGGACUCC
rnacentral:other from 3 species